GAUAAACGCUGGCGGCGUGCAUUAGACAUGCAAGUCGAACGAACGACCUCGGGCUUGCCCGGGGAAGUGAGUGGCGAACGGCUGAGUAACGCGUAGGUGACCUGCCCAGAAGUGGGGAAUAACUGCCCGAAAGGGUGGCUAAUACCGCAUAUGGUCAUGAAUUCAGUUUCAUGUCCAAAGCCUUCGGGCGCUACUGGAGGGGCCUGCGUUCGAUUAGCUCGUUGGUGAGGUAACGGCUCACCAAGGCGACGAUCGAUAGGUGGUCUGAGAGGAUGAUCACCCAGACUGGGACUGAGACACGGCCCAGACUCCUACGGGAGGCAGCAGUCGGGAAUUUUGCUCAAUGGGGGAAACCCUGAAGCAGCAACGCCGCGUGAGGGAUGACGGCCUUCGGGUUGUAAACCUCUUUUGCCGGGGACGAUAAUGACGGUACCCGGAGAAUAAGCCACGGCUAACUACG
rnacentral:rRNA from 1 species